AUCACCAAUAAUCCAAAGAAGUUUGAGUACAUACACGUACGUACCCAAUAGUACAUACCCCUUCACUUCACUGUUAUAUCUCUUCAAAAUAUUCUACCAAUGGCCAUACCUAAACUCCCUCUAACCUCUGUUUUUAUCACCGUUCUCGUCUUCGCCAUGGUUCUCUCUCCCAUGACAACUCCAACCGCCAGUGCCACUCGUGUUCUUCUACAGCAAAUUAAUAGGCCGCCUAUAUGUCCGGCGUGCGUGUGCUGCGAACCGCCACCGGCGGGAUCCUGUUGCCGCUGUUGUGCUUCUCCGAUUCAGACUUCAUCUCAGAACGGGUCGCCAUGAAAAAAUCAGAAUUUGCUGAUCAUACUUGCUGAUCUGUCCAUGGGAGUAAGGAUUUGAAGAUGCAUGCAUGCUUUGAGAAUAAGGAGAAGACGAAUCUCCAUUAUCCAAAUAAUAAUAAUAAAUACUAAUUAAGAUUUGUUUUAAUUAGGUUAAUGUGUGAUUAGAUUAAUGUUACGUUGUUAUUUGAAUUAAUGAAGUCUCAGUUUGAUAUUCUAAUUGAAGAAUAAAAGAAUGAAAAUAAUAUACUUCAAAUUUAGUGUUUGUGAA